rnacentral:rRNA from 1 species
UUGCCUACGGGAGGCAGCAGUGGGGAAUAUUGCACAAUGGGGGAAACCCUGAUGCAGCAACGCCGCGUGAGUGAAGAAGUCAUUCGUGAUGUAAAGCUCUAUCAGCAGGGAAGAAAAUGACGGUACCUGACUAAGAAGCCCCGGCUAACUACGUGCCAGCAGCCGCGGUAAUACGUAGGGGGCAAGCGUUAUCCGGAUUUACUGGGUGUAAAGGGAGCGUAGACGGCGACGCAAGUCUGAAGUGAAAUGCCAGUGCUCAACACUGGAACUGCUUUGGAAACUGUGUGGCUAGAGUGCAGGAGAGG